rnacentral:rRNA from 1 species
UGGGGAAUUGUUCGCAAUGGGCGCAAGCCUGACGACGCAACGCCGCGUGGAGGAUGAAGAUCUUCGGGUCGUAAGCUCCUGUCGAGCGGGACGAAUGCCUUGCCGGUGAAUAUCCGGCGAGGGUGACGGUACCGCGAAAGGAAGCCCCGGCUAACUCCGUGCCAGCAGCCGCGGUCAUACGGAGGGUGCGAGCGUUGUCCGGAAUCAUUGGGCGUAAAGGGCGCGUAGGUGGCCCGGUCAGUCCGUGGUGAAAGCGCGGGGCUCAACCCUGCGUCGGCCAUGGAUACUGCCGCGGCUCGAGCACUGUAGAGGCAGGCGGAAUUCCGGGUGUAGCGGUGGAAUGCGUAGAGAUCCGGAAGAACACCGGUGGCGAAGGCGGCCUGCUGGGCAGUCUGGCUGACACUGAGGCGCGACAGCGUGGGGAGCAAA